UUUAAAAAACGUUGGGACCGUUUGGGCGGAUGUACCUAGGGUUCUUACGAGAUCGUAGUAGUAGCGAUCGAGAGGUAUUUUGUAUAGAUUUCUCGCUCCGCUGCGCGCUCGCUAUGGCGUUUUCUUGCAAGCCAGAUCGCUCCAAGUUUACCAGGUCGCCGGUCGCUCCCAAAAAGAGCCCUUGCCAGGUCGUGCCGCGGCAGGAGGGGGGAGGAUUUGCGCGAAAAUGCAGCAGUCCAGUGUUCACGAGCUCUCCAAUGCGCCCUCCAGUGAGGAGGGGAUUUCCCUUGCCGGUGCCGAAGACGCCAGACCACCAGCACCUCAAGGAAAAUGGUCCUCCUUGUAAGAUCCCUUCUUCUCCGGCUUCUUCGAACAAACAGAGAGCUCUUGCGAAACCACCCUCGCCAAAGAAAAUUCUUGGAGAACACAACGUCGUUGACGCUGCGGUGGUUUCUUCGAAGAGGUGCCGCAAGGAAUGGCAGAUUCCAAGUUCUUCGGGGAUAGAGCUCAAAGAGAGCUUGAGUGGGAUGGAGUCUCCGGCCGAUGCUGCGUGUGCUGUGGAUCAAGUCUCGACGUUUCCGGUGAACGUAGAGGUGCUGGGAGAGCCGGAGCCAGUGGCUGGAUGGGUCCAAGAGCGUCCCACGACUCAUCAUCGAGAGGUGGCGGACUCAAAGGAUUUGGCCAGGAAUCUUUUUGGUGGCGUAGAAACUCCUGGAGAACAUCAAUCUCCUCAGCAUUCGUCCUCGGGGAGCAGCAGCCAUGGCACGAGCGAAGAGGAAGAUUUGGCGAUCGCUUCCUCGAUGAUUUUCGAGAAAGUGGAGCUGGAUGAUUGGAUCGUUCAUGCUCCUGAGGAAGCUCUUGCGGCAGUAACUUCAAUCGAAAGCAACGUAGCAGCGGUGGUGGUGGAAGAAACCAAGACAGUUUCCAACGUUCAUUGUGGAAGGCAAAACAUCUCGAGAAGUAUCAAGUGGAGCGGGGCUCUGGGAUUCCUGGUUCUUUUGUUGUACAUCUCGGCACUGGCAGCUCCACCAAGGCAGAUUUUUCAUGAACUCUGGAGCAGACGAUCAGAAUUUUGCGUGGUUCCUGGCGAGAUAGAGUGGAGCUCCGAGGCAGACACGGUCGGGCUUUAUGUUAAUCCUGCGACAUUGCUGGAACACUGCUCAGUAGCAAAACGCCAGCUUUUGGAGCUUUACGAGAAGUCUUCCGGCAAGCUCGCGGAAGGACUGGGCUUCAAUUCCGUGAGGAUCAUCACCAGCUACUACUCGAGCUUGGUUCUUGGCAACCAUGCAAAGGACGUUCUCUUCAACUCCUGCCGCGAGUUUCAAGGACAGUACUACCGCUUGAGGGUUGCGACAGUAUCGCUUAUUGAACAAGCCAUACCGCUGGAGAGUACAGCUAGAGAUGUGCUCACAGGAUGGAGUUUCGAAGAUAGCUUCUCGAAGGCGCGCCAGUGGUUUACUUCGGUCGAAAGCUAUGCAAAUGAGGCUUUGAUUCACCGCUAUCUUCGUCUUCCAUCCCCGUCUAUUUCCGCUGCUCAUCGCGACGUUCCAUAUUUCGAGAAGCUUAACGAAGAGGCAGACGGUAACACUCACGUAGCGGAAACAGAUCCGGCGUUCGAAAGUGAUGAGGUUUCUAAAGCCAUUGACUGGAUAGGAGACACCAUUUCGGUGUGUCGGUUACCAGAGCAUCGUUCUCCAGUGAACUCAGCGUCGAUGCCAAACGCAGCGGUGAAGCAAGACAUGAUCAACGAAGCUGAUAUGGAGUUGGAAAUUCCCAAUGCUGGAGAAAACUACUUCGAAGAGCAGCAUGACAACAACAACAAGCUUUAUCUUGGAGCAGUUUUAAUCGUCGCAGUUCUGGGCUUGGCUGUUUCCUACCGUCUCCAAUCGCCUGCGAAAGUUCCGGAGAAACCACCAGUGGAAGAGUUCUCAAGCCCGGGUUGCGAGCUAUCAGUUCAAGAUAUAAUGCGGAUGAGAGGAGCUGACGAAGAGCUUAUACUGACGCCGGAGCAGGAGACUGGAGGCUACUCGCCAUACGGGAGUUUUACUGCUUACAAGCGCGUUGUUUACAACGAGGGAUCCGAGAAAGAGGAGGUAAAACUCACACCCGUGAGGCGAUCUAGCAGAAUCCGAAACCAAGUUCCUCGUUUGUUCACGUCAUAGCCUCAACGAGGUAAAGCUUUGAUUAGAAUUCAUCUUGAUGCAGUCAGCAUAUGCAUCACACAGGCUAGGAAAGAAGCAUGUGUGUUUCCGAAACACAUGGAAACAUAGUCUAUAGACUGACUGACUUAGAAUCUUUUUGUUCUAAGCAAAUAGCAAAUUCUUUUUAGCCAUGGGCGAGCGCUUCCUUUACAGGGUUUGCUCCCGAGAGGAGCUCAACGAGGCCAAGCUUGAUGGGCUACUGCGAGGCAACACUCUUGACAAGAAAUCGGGUUUCAUCCAUCUUAGUACCAAGUCUCAGUUUCCAGGUUGCGGGAGUCCUGGCUCUCUUCUUCGCUGGUAGAGACGAUCUAGUGCUCCUGGUUGUCGACCCUCACAAGUUGGCCGAUGAUGGAGUGGUAAAAUACGAUGAGGCCGAGCCUGGCGUGUUCUUUCCACAUUUCUACGGUCCCGCUGGAAACUUUACACCGAUGCCGCUGGCGGCCGUGGUGGAAGAACAUGCUCUCAUGCUCGAGCAAGGCCUCCAUGGCUUGCCUUUCAAGGACUGAGAUGAAAAGAAAGAGUAAAUUUGGUGGCGGUGGAGACAUCAGCUCCGAGCUACCAUCAUGCCUAGUACGUGAUCGUUCUUUC